ACGGGCGGCAGCGGAUGGCCAUGCGUACCAUUAGCUGGUUGGUAAGGUAACGGCUUACCAAAGCUACGAUGGUUAGGGGCCCUGAGAGGGGGAUCCCCCACACUGGUACUGAGACACGGACCAGACUCCUACGGGAGGCAGCAGUGAGGAAUAUUGGACAAUGGGCGGAGGCCUGAUCCAGCCAUGCCGCGUGCGGGAAGACGGCCCUACGGGUCGUAAACCGCUUUUGUACGGGAAGAAACCUCUCCACGUGUGGAGAGUUGACGGUACCGUAAGAAUAAGGACCGGCUAACUCCGUGCCAG
rnacentral:rRNA from 1 species